rnacentral:rRNA from 1 species
UACGAAGGGGGCUAGCGUUGCUCGGAAUUACUGGGCGUAAAGGGCGCGUAGGCGGAUCGACAAGUUGGGGGUGAAAUCCCGGGGCUUAACCUCGGAACUGCCUCCAAAACUGUCUAUCUUGAGUACGGGAGAGGUGAGUGGAACUCCGAGUGUAGAGGUGAAAUUCGUAGAUAUUCGGAAGAACACCAGUGGCGAAGGCGACUCACUGGCCCGUUACUGACGCUGAGGCGCGAAAGCGUGGGGAGCAAACAGG